CCUACGGGUGGCAGCAGUGGGGAAUAUUGGACAAUGGGCGAAAGCCUGAUCCAGCCAUGCCGCGUGUGUGAAGAAGGCCUUCGGGUUGUAAAGCACUUUCAGUGGGGAAGAAAGCCUUGGGGCUAAUACCCUCGAGGAAGGACAUCACCCACAGAAGAAGCACCGGCUAACUCCGUGCCAGCAGCCACGGUAAUACGGAGGGUGCGAGCGUUAAUCGGAAUUACUGGGCGUAAAGCGCGCGUAGGCGGUCUGAUAAGCCGGUUGUGAAAGCCCCGGGCUCAACCUGGGAACGGCAUCCGGAACUGUCAGGCUAGAGUGCAGGAGAGGAAGGUAGAAUUCCCGGUGUAGCGGUGAAAUGCGUAGAGAUCGGAAGGAAUACCAGUGGCGAAGGCGGCCUUCUGGACUGACACUGACGCUGAGGUGCGAAAGCGUGGGUAGCAAACAGGAUUAGAUACCCUAGUAGUC
rnacentral:rRNA from 1 species